rnacentral:tRNA from 1 species
GCGGGGGUACCAGAGUCAGGUCAAAUAUCUGACCAAAUGGGCGGGUCGCGAUCCCGUGGCGUAGGCCUUCGUGGGUUCGAAUCCCACCCCCCGCACCA